rnacentral:tRNA from 1 species
GGGGUUGUGGCUCAGUGGUAGAGUGCUUCCCUAGCAUGUAUGAGGCACUGGGUUCGAUUCUCAGCACUGCA